rnacentral:rRNA from 1 species
AGUGAACGCUGGCGGCGUGCUUAACACAUGCAAGUCGAACGAGAACGGAUUAUAGCUUGCUAUAAUUGUCAGCUAAGUGGCGCACGGGUGAGUAAUGUAUAGGUAAUAUGCCUCUUACUAAGGGAUAACAAAUGGAAACGUUUGCUAAUACCUUAUACUCCUUAUUAACAUAAGUUAAUAAGGGAAAGAUUUAUUGGUAAGAGAUUAGCCUGUAUUGUAUCAGUUAGUUGGUGGGGUAAUGGCUUACCAAGACUAUGACACAUAACUGGUUUGAGAGGAUGAUCAGUCACACUGGAACUGAGACACGGUCCAGACUCCUACGGGAGGCAGCAGUGGGGAUUAUUGCACAAUGGACGAAAGUUUGAUGCAGCAACGCCGCGUGGAGGAUGACACAUUUCGGUGCGUAAACUCCUUUUAUAUGAGAAGAUAAUGACGGUAUUAUAUGAAUAAGCACCGGCUAACUCCGUGCCAGCCGCCGCCGUAA